rnacentral:rRNA from 1 species
CCUACGGGGGGCUGCAGUGGGGAAUAUUGCACAAUGGGCGCAAGCCUGAUGCAGCCAUGCCGCGUGUGUGAAGAAGGCCUUCGGGUUGUAAAGCACUUUCAGCGGGGAGGAAGGCGGUGAGGUUAAUAACCUCAUCGAUUGACGUUACCCGCAGAAGAAGCACCGGCUAACUCCGUGCCAGCAGCCGCGGUAAUACGGAGGGUGCAAGCGUUAAUCGGAAUUACUGGGCGUAAAGCGCACGCAGGCGGUCUGUCAAGUCGGAUGUGAAAUCCCCGGGCUCACCCUGGGAACUGCAUUCGAAACUGGCAGGCUAGAGUCUUGUAGAGGGGGGUAGAAUUCCAGGUGUAGCGGUGAAAUGCGUAGAGAUCUGGAGGAAUACCGGUGGCGAAGGCGGCCCCCUGGACAAAGACUGACGCUCAGGUGCGAAAGCGUGGGGAGCAAACAGGAUUAGAUACCCGAGUAGUC